rnacentral:rRNA from 1 species
CAGUAGCCACGGGAAUACAGAGGGUGCGAGCGUUAAUCGGAUUUACUGGGCGUAAAGCGUGCGUAGGCGGCUUUUUAAGUCGGAUGUGAAAUCCCUGAGCUUAACUUAGGAAUUGCAUUCGAUACUGGGAAGCUAGAGUAUGGGAGAGGAUGGUAGAAUUUUAGGUGUAGCGGUGAAAUGCGUAGAGAUCUGGAGGAAUACCGGUGGCGAAGGCAGCCAUCUGGCCUAAUACUGACGCUGAGGUACGAAAGCAUGGGGAGCAAACAGGAUUAGAUACCCCAGUAGUCCCUGUCUCUUAUAC